GAUGAACGCUGGCGGCGUGCCUAAUACAUGCAAGUCGAGCGAACAGACGAGGAGCUUGCUCCUCUGACGUUAGCGGCGGACGGGUGAGUAACACGUGGAUAACCUACCUCUAAGACUGGGAUAACUUCGGGAAACCGGAGCUAAUACUGGAUCAUAUAUUGUACCGCAUGGUUCAAUAGUGAAAGACGGCUUUGCUGUCACUUAUAGAUGGAUUCGCGCCGCAUUAGCUAGUUGGUAAGGUAACGGCUUACCAAGGCGACGAUGCGUAGCCGACCUGAGAGGAUGAUCGGCCACACUGGAACUGAGACACGGUCCAGACUCCUACGGGAGGCAGCAGUAGGGAAUAUUCCGCAAUGGGCGAAAGCCUGACGGAGCAACGCCGCGUGAGUGAUGAAGGUCUUCGGAUCGUAAAACUCUGUUGUUAGGGAAGAACAAAUGUGUAAGUAACUAUGCACGUCUUGACGGUACCUAAACAGAAAGCCACGGCUAACUACGUG
rnacentral:rRNA from 1 species